GUGCAGUGCGAGACGUCGAGCGUCAGCGGCAUAUUCUUCACCGUUUUCGUCCCCGUCGCCGUCGACGACGUCGCCGAGCCAUCGGGAACAUACGUGAGUGAACGAGCGACCGACGUGAGAAGAUGCGACGACCACGACGACCCGUAUCCUACUGCCUGUCGACUCGUAUCGAGGCGACGCGUUCCACCCUCGUUUCCGACCGGCGACGUGGUGAGUUCGACGUGGUGAUUUUCUCCUCUUCGCAUUUCGUCACCGCGGCAUCAUUUCUCUCUUAUCUCCCAGUUGGAAGAAUUGGAAGAACUGAGCUCACUUUAAGCGAUCUCAAAAAGCGUAUAUUCCUGUGUUCCGGCAAUUAGCAAGAGGAACUUGAAUCUAAAUCUCAGCACUUCGUUUCCGGCGGAUUCAUAGAAAGGCAGACCUGGACGUCGUCAACGUUAGGAGAAAAUUCGUCGUUACUGAUUAAUCAUUCGAACGUGAGAGCUUUUUAAGCAGACAAAGGAUUCCUCCGACAAGGAAGAAUACCGGCCAGAGGGUGCUAAGGGGAUAAAAGGAAGAAAUAAUCACUUUAUCACGCGUAUACAGAAAAAGUGAGAAAUAACAAUGGCGGGCGAGGACACGCAGAUCUUGUCGAACGGUAACGUGGAGGAGCUCACGAUCAUCCCGCCGAAGAUGACGAACGGAAACGGGCUGAUCUGCGGCGACAAGCAGCACAAUAACAACGGCUCGAUACCGAAUGGGAAGUUGCACGGCGGGAUCGGCGGUACGGAGAACGGCAAUCUGAUCGUGCCGGAUGAGAGGUCGAGCAGCCUUCAUACGGAGUUCGACGACGCCGACGUGUCCUGCGGAUGGGGCCCGUGCAGGCCCCAGUGGCUGCAGUACUUCGCUACGAAGCAAGCCUUCCUAGUGACCUUCUGUCUCACUUGGGUGCUUCAAGGUAUGUACUACACGUACUUCGUCUCCGUCAUCACGACAAUAGAGAAGCUCUUCCAAAUUCAGUCGAAGACGACAGGUAUUAUCAUGUCGGCGACGGAGAUCGGCCAGAUCGGGUCCUCUCUGUUACUGACGUACUAUGGCGGCCAAGGUCACCGGCCCAAGUGGAUAGCCUGGGGCAUGAUCCUCUUCGCCGUGAGCUCGUUCACCUGCUCGGUACCCCACUUUAUCUACGGCAAACAGCUGAUUCUUCAAAACGACAUGCUGGUCAGCGGCGUCGGGACCGGCGCUGAGAGCCGCGGGCCCAACAGCACGGAUCCGAUACCGGCGAAUCUCUGCAAGUUCCAGGAAAGGAACAGCACGUUAGACGGGUGGAACAUAUCGACAACCACACCCCAAACCGAUUCGUCUGAAUAUUGCAAAGGUGACUUUCUUAUGGAGCAGAGAAUACAGAGCAAGAUUACCACGGUGGUGCUUGCGAUAUUUUUUGUAUCGUUACUCGGUGUUGGAAUGGGUCAAACGGCGGUAUAUACCCUUGGUAUACCGUAUAUCGAUGACAACGUAGCCAGCAGAGAAAGUCCCUUAUAUUUUGCGAUCACUAUCGGAGUACGAAUUCUGGGUCCAGCGUUAGGUUUUAUCCUCGGUUCCUUGUGCACGAGAGUCUACGCGGAUCUGUCGAGAAAUCCGCAGAUUACGCCAUCGGAUCCAAGAUGGGUCGGUGCUUGGUGGCUUGGACUAGUAUUAAUCUCGGCUAUGCUAAUGAUGGUCAGUAUAGGUAUGUUCGCAUUUCCAACCCGUUUGCCAACAAGCCGAACGUCCCCUCGACGAACGGAUUCUCAAAAACCCAGUUUGAGAGAUUUCCCCAAUGCUGUAAAAAGGCUCUUGAAGAACGAUAUUCUGAUGUUCCGAACAGCAAGUAGUGUGUUACACAUCCUGCCGAUCGCCGGUCUCUACACCUUCCUGCCAAAGUAUCUCGAGAGCCAAUUUCGCCUACCGGCUCAUGAUGCGAACCUGAUCUCAGGUGUUGGCGGAAUCCUAGUAAUGGGAUUGGGCAUCAUAAUUAGCGGCGUGUUUAUCUUGAAGGCGAAACCCAAUGCCAGAUUUGUCGCAGCCUGGAUCGCCUUCACCGCGAUCGUUUACGCGAUCGGUAUGGGGGUGUUAAUGUUUAUUGGUUGUCCGAUGGACGACUUUGCCGGACUCGUGUCACAUCCCGACGGACUCUCUAGCUUCGAGCCGACCUGUGAGGCUACCUGUGACUGCGAUCGGAACAAAUUUAGUCCAAUUUGCGGCGUCGACGGUAGAACGUAUUUCUCUGCGUGUCACGCGGGCUGUUCGAAUUAUACGGUUGCUGACGGCAAAGUGGCAUCGUUUUACAAUUGUCAAUGCAUCGGACAGAACGUAACGAUAUUACCGGAAGCAGAAAGCACAGCGUCGAUCGGUUACUGUCAACUGGAAUGCAGUAACUUUUGGGUUUAUAUGAUCCUGUUCUCGGUCUUCGUUUUUAUACACUCCACGAGCGAGGUGGGCUCAAUGUUGCUCAUUCUACGAUGCGUAGAUCCCAAGGACAAGGCCAUGGCACUCGGUCUGAUACAAUUCGCCAUCGGGUUGUUUGGCAAUGUUCCGUGUCCUAUCGUUUAUGGUGCUGUGGUAGAUUCCGCUUGUCUCGUGUGGGAAUACGCUUGCGGUGAGCGAGGCGCCUGUUGGCUUUACGAUUCAAACGUCUUUAGAAUGUUCUAUCACGGUACAACAGGCGGAAUUCUCAUACUGGCCUUCGUGGUGGAUAUAGUCGUCUGGUACAAGGCCGGGAGCAUAAGCUUCGUGGAGGAGCAGGAGGGUGAGACAGGAAGACUGAUAUUGAAGGACAACUCGGAUGAUUUUGAUUCGGUAACUCGGAGAACCAAGGCUCAGUUAAGCGAUGAGGAGAAAGACAAAUUUGAGUAGAGCAUAAAAAAGUAAUCAGCACGGGAUAGGGAAGACACGGAAGAGAGGGGAGACGUGAAUACUACUUCGUCUGAGCAUCCACAACGUAAUAUAAAUCUCUCGAGUGCGCCUUGGAAAAGUUAGUAGGGUUUCUCUCUCAGGGAGGCUUGUCAGUGAUUAUUUCCGAAAACACGUAAAAAACAAAAGAGACGGAGGAAAACUGCCGAUCAUUCCAUUCAAUCAAUCGUUGCGAUAGAGAGGCUUCUUCUUCACGGUUGGAACGCAUAAAGAGCAGGCAAAGGAUAUAUGAUUAUAUACGUGUAAAAAGUGUAUACUUCGCGUACGUAGGUACGUAAUGUACAGCUUAAAUCGUCGAUUCUGGUCAGUCGGUCCUCGACCGCUCACAAACGAACGUACGCGCUCGCGUGCACCUCUGCUUUAAUCCUUGCGUGUGUUCUCUCUAUUGAUGUUCUGAAAAAAAUCGCGAUGACUGAUGCGCCGGGUUUUCGCACGGGCGCCUCGCGAAGGUAGAAAUUAUCCGCGAAGCAUUACAGAAACGAAGCGCCGAGCGAACGAUACAGAUCUAAACUGCAACGCGUAAAUUUCAAAAAAAGAGAAAAGAAAUCGAUGGAAAUUUUGUAAUCAGUUACAAUCUUCUUAUUAAACUCGAUAAAAAUCGUGAUUAAACAAAAGCUAUUGUGCUAUUUUAUUAGUUGCAUAGGUCGAAUGAUUGCUAAUUAAUAAUUGUUCACUAUGAUUGUAGAAAUAUUUCCCUUAAAAGACAUACAAUCAUUUCUAAAAUUGUUAUUACAUAUUGCUUGUAUUAACAAAUCUAAAUUACAAGAGAAAUAUUUCUACAAUUAUUGUAUUAUCAUAAAAAUUAUAAUUAUAAUUAUAACAAAUCUAAAUUAUAAUAAAUAUGAACACGUUUUAGAUCUAUAUUAUUCUCGGCGUUUCUCGAACACAAAUGUUUAUCUAAGGGUGAUUAAUGGAUUAAAAACUAUAAAGAGUAACGUAAGUGUAGCGUAUAUUGACCGUUAAAAUCAGAAAUGUAGGAAUAGCGAGAUAAUAAGUUAUAUAGUGUAAAAUGCUAAGGAUUAACGCAGCAAACGACUACCUCCUAAUAUAUUGUACAUCUCGUUAUUGUUAAAACAGAACUCAUUAUCGCUAAUUUGGUUCGAGACAAGCUUUGCCAGCUAAUGAAUGAUUAAUCAUUGCAUCGAAAGAUUAAUUACUUAUCUCGAUGCUGGUGACUGUUUUGACAAUAAUUCACAACGUACGAACGAAAUUCGAGUAUGCUCCGUAAAUUAGCGAUAUAUUUUUAUGUAUGUAAGAAUGUCGCAUCCUUGAAACACGAAGACGUUCGUUUUGAGCGGCCCGAAACAAUCCUUGUUCCUUUACACAGUUUAUUCUCGAUUUACGAUAUUAAUAGAUUCUUGAGAAGAUUAUUAUUGCAUAUCUAAAUAAAAUUUCGUAAAAGAAAAGAAUUUUUUAAUUUAAAUAAUAAAUUUCAAUUUUAUUAUACAUAAACAUUACGUAAAAUAAAUGUUUACAAAGUAUUAUUUUAAUUAGUUUCAAAUUUUAGUGAGCUGAAAAAUAUACAGGCUGUCUCAGUUAUAUUAUAUUAUUAAAUCUAGAUUUCUCUAAUUAUUGUUAGGAAUAAUUUAAUAACGCAAAUCGAGAUAUAAUAUGAAUCGCAUUUAUUUGUUCCGCUUUUAAGAAUCGAUAAAACACACAUAUACAGACACUGUUAUUACAUUUGGAACUCUUGGAUCUCGGUUGACCUGUUAAGCACUACCGUCCGUGUGUUAUACUUGCGCAUAAAGUACUAUUAUUAUAAAUAUAAUAGACGUUAUGUAUAGAUAUCUGUAUAAAAUACCAUAACUGGCGAAAGUUUCCAGUGAUGCGAAAGGAAAAAAAAAUGAAAAUGGAGGAAGAGGAGAAUAAGCGAGAGGUCGACGAGAUCGAAAGCGAAGAUCGAUAUUUUUAGAUAAUUUGACGAAAACGGAAGUUAGAUGAAACAAAAGUAACGUUAAUUAUGAUUAUCAUUAUCAUCGUUAUGAUUAUCGCAUUGGAAUGCUAGGGUGGCAUAAUGCGCGGAAUGCGAAUCACUUAUACAAAAAAAAAA